rnacentral:rRNA from 1 species
AUUGAACGCUGGCGGCAUGCCUUACACAUGCAAGUCGAACGGCAGCACGGGAGCAAUCCUGGUGGCGAGUGGCGAACGGGUGAGUAAUAUAUCGGAACGUGCCCAGUCGUGGGGGAUAACGUAGCGAAAGCUACGCUAAUACCGCAUACGAUCUAUGGAUGAAAGCGGGGGAUCGCAAGACCUCGCGUGAUUGGAGCGGCCGAUAUCAGAUUAGGUAGUUGGUGGGGUAAAAGCCUACCAAGCCUUCGAUCUGUAGCUGGUCUGAGAGGACGACCAGCCACACUGGAACUGAGACACGGUCCAGACUCCUACGGGAGGCAGCAGUGGGGAAUUUUGGACAAUGGGCGCAAGCCUGAUCCAGCAAUGCCGCGUGCAGGAUGAAGGCC